rnacentral:lncRNA from 1 species
CUCCCCUCCACUCGGCUGCCGCAGCCCCGCUAGUCGCGCGCGUCAGCGUGGGCUCCCCGGAGCGAGUCGCUAGGUAACGGGGCUGGCUCCGCAGACCCGGGGCCGGGGAAGCCCGCGCGCGUCGUCAGCAGCGGCGCAGCGGGGCGGGGGCAAGGGGCGCACGGACCCUUUUCAUUCGGGCCUGCGGACCCUGGCUCGCACGCAGCCCCCUCCCAGGAUGCCUUAACCGGCGCCGAUCGCAGUCAUCCAGGUGCCCCUCCCUUGCAGGGACCCCAACGCCGCCAGCCCCUUCCUCCUUCCUAGCCGGUGCGCACUGCUCUGCGCGCAGCCGGGUGGGAGCCCCGCUGCCGCGGUCGCCGUCGCCGGUCCUCCCGCCGAGCCCGGGCUCGGGGCAUGAGGAGCCCCGGGGCGCCGCCCGGAGACGAGCCGGCUGCGCGUACACUUCUCCAGCGGCGGACGGGGACAUGAGCCGUGCUUACGGGGUCCGGCGCCCGGCGGCCAGCCCCAGCCGGCGGCAGCCAGCGGGUCGGCGCUGCCCGGGAGAAUGA